UUUCGCACUAAAUUGCUAGAGACUAGCAAUAAGCUAGUUGGGGGGUGUGAUGAGAGCACAAAAGUGCAAUCGUCAGUACUAUCUUAAUUAGUAUUAUAGUUAAUCUUUAAUGAUAAAAUUAAUUAAUUAACAUUGUAUUUGUGUUUGAGUGCAAGGAUCCAAGAGACCCAAUAACAUUGGGUUUGAGCCCAAUGCCCGGCAGCCCGAGCUCAACAAAUUCUCCAAUUGCCAUGCAUGCAUGAAAUCCCGACCGUCCACGUCUCAUCCGAACAUGCAUCCAAUAAAACAUCACUAGACCAUCAACCGUCUGAACCUGUAGCCGUGGCAUCCCUUCCAAAUCCUCCACGCCAUCAAUGCAAUCAAAGCAUCUCCCACGUUCGCUCCUCCCAGCAGUCCGCAUUCUUCAUGCGCGCCCCAUUCUAUGCGAUCACGGGAGGCCCCUGCAUCGCAUCCCCCUCUUGGCCUAAAGAAGGAAGUUCACAUCCUUCCUCUUCAGCACCCCGUAUCCCGUCCAUCCACGAAAACCUCAUGCGUGCGCCCCAUUCCUCUUCAGCCAUCAAGGAGCCCAUGAAGCCAGCCAUCAUCUUCUUCCCCCUUCUGGAUCUACAGCUCCUCCUUCCCGUGAUCCCGCCUCAUAGAGCGCCCCCCUGCUUCGUAUGCAUUGAUAAGUGCUAAAUAAUAUACAAAUUAAUAUCUUAUUCAUAGCACUUAUCCUUAUUUUAAUUCAUAUAUUUUGUGAAUUUAACAUAAGAAAAUGUGUUCUCCUUCAUCAUGGCAUUAUUAAAAAUAAUUCGAGUUUGCUUGAUUUUAUUGGUCAAGUCUAAUAUGUGCAGGUCGAGUCGAACUAAUUGGGAUGAUAUUUGAACUAAUGUGUGCAGGUCGCGUUUGCAGCUGAACCCAUGUCCACGUCACCCUUUAAGUGCUUAGAAAUCAAGCUUCCAUGUCACUCUCCCUCCCACAUCCACAUUCUCCAGCGCCAUGUCUUCGGCAGUCCAAAGACAUCCUCUCAAAUCUCCUCUUCCCAGCCAACUUCGUGAAUUCCCAGCUAAUCCCGAUAACAUUCCAACUCCCAAAACGACCAAUCCUUAUCCCAACUAGAUUCCGCUAGCUCCCAGCCCUCCUUCGGAUGCGUUCGUGAUCUAUGUUCAUCCCACGACCGCAUCAAAUCCCCUGUUACGUGCAUCUCCCAUUCCCAGCACCUCAUCCACGGAAGUAAUCCAUCCUUCUUCAAGCCGAAUCCCCUGUUCCCAAUCGUACCGUUUCCAAACCUCCUCAACUUCUCUUCCGCAUCAUGCACGGAUGAAUCCCCUACAUCCCGAAACUGAGUCUUCUAUGCCUUGCUCCAUGAAUCUUUCCCAACCGGAUGAACAUCCCAAACCAUUUCUCCCAGCAAAUCCCAAUUCUUCCGGCAUCUCCUCUCAGCCGAGAACACCACCCCCUGAUCCCAGCCGUUAACGAAGUCCCAAGCUACCCAUCCCGUAUCUACAGAUUAAGCAUCCCAGCCUCAAAACAGAGUUCAUCUCCCCUGCUUCCAUGAUUCCUCCCAACUUAUCCUCCCAACCGAAUCCUCAAGUUCUUUUCUCAAGCGGGAUAAGCCUUCCGAAAUGCCCAGAUCUCAUCCCGUUUGGAACGGAGUCCCAUCGUCCAUGGAUAAAGCCCAGGAAUCCAACUCCUUCCGCAUCCAAAGAACAACCAUCUAAGAUCUUUCCAAAUGCCUACAGCCGCAUCCCAAAGCCUCAUCUCUUCUCAGCCGUGGGCUUCAUCCAAACAUCCACUAUUUCAUGUGUCUUCAUCUCCAAAGCUUCCGGAACAGCUCCUCCCACGAUGCUUGCCAAGCAAACAAAGAUCCAUCUUUAUCCAAGCAACCUCACACAACCCAUCUCCCAACCGUAUCCCCUAUUUUGGAACAAAACCAAUCUCCCCAGCAUCCCAGCCGUCCACCGCAUUAAAGCUUCUCCCCACUCCAAGGAUCAGCAGCUCAACGUCCUCCGGAUCACCAUCUAAGCUCUCAUCUGAGAUCCACCUCCAACUUCUCCCGCGUCCGGAUCUCCCGCGGCCAACAAAACCAAAGCUCCAUCCAGCCGCUUCCAUCCUUAUCCGUGAAGAAACAGAGGAGGAGCGAGGGGGAGAUGGGCUACCUAUAUAAGGGAGGACUUCUGAUCAGAGGAAGGCAUUCCUUCUUUCCCACCGAGGACUGCUCCAAUUCCUC
rnacentral:lncRNA from 1 species